GGUGUCGUCUCCGGGCCCCGUCUCCCAUUCCCCUCCCAUUAGAGGUACGCG
rnacentral:ribozyme from 1 species